GCUUAAGUGGCUUAAGUGGUUAGAGCGCCUGCCUCGGAUACAGGAGGUCACGGGUUCGAACUUGGCUGAGUCAUCCA